rnacentral:miRNA from 1 species
GACUUAUAAUAAUCUCAUGAA